GAUAGGUAGACCAAGGUCAAGGGUAUCCCGAGACUGGCGUAACCCAUGGUAGCGACUUUUCCCCAAGUGGAUUUCGGGGCGAUACUUCCACAUCCUACGAAAAAAGGGAACAAGAAAAGUUUACGUCAGAGAUGAGUAAAAACUGAAGUUACGUGUCGGUAUUUCGCAGUGCUAUUUCUUUCUCGGCGAGUCGUUAUAUUUUCCCUUUACGCAAUACAAUAGCGAUAUUACGGCGAUAAAAGAACAGCGACGGAGUCGAGGCAGUUAAUCUCUCGUAAUAUUAAUCUUCCGGCUUACUUAAAAGGUAAUACGCGCACCGAUAUGUUUAUUCACGCUAAUUAAGCGCCGCGAUAACAAAAACUGCGUAACAUGCAAUUGUAAAUGCAUUUGCUCGUGUGACCAUAUGUGCGUGGAUAUGAGCAAAAGUACUUAUAUUGAGUUUGCUUAAAGGAUAAUGUCGAGAGUUUCUUUUCUAAUUUUCAUCUUUUAGCGUGUGGUUAACGUGUCUCUAGCCUCGUUCGUUUUAAUGGCUACAACACCAAUUUUCUUUUCUACCUUCUCUGGUCGGGUUAUAUUUUAAUUUAAUUAACGGAGAGAUUUAAAAUCGACACUGAGAAGCGAAUUUAUUAUAAUUCGCCGUAAGAAUCGAGCUCAGAGAGCAAAUCUCGAGACGCAAGUUUUAUUAUUACAAUUCAUACGUUGCGAAAAAUGCGAAAGUUGAUUAGACUUCAUAAAAGCCGUAUCUAGGUCAGCAGGAGCGCUUUGCACGGAAAGUUGGGCAAUAAAACGUUCAUAAAAAUUCGUAGAAUUUUUAGUAUCGUAAGAGCUUAAGUUUCAGCAAACGUCUAUCAAUCGUAAUCUCCAAAAACGACUCUCGCAAUCGAGCGGCGAAAUUUAUAGCACAGCAGCAACGUCCAAUUGGUUUGCUAUCCGGGGGAAUAGAUAAAAAUAUCUAUGAAAACACCUAGCCCCAGAAUUUAUCUUCAAUUGCGCAAAACAAUCAAAAGCAUUGUUCGAUCGAGAUUUCCGCGACAAACCGUAUCAUUCUGACGUUAGAAUAUGAUUUGCGUUAAACGAUUAUUUUUCUUGUUUUAUGUGUUUAUGGUAUAAAAUUUAUUCAGUGAGAUAACCUAUCGUUAUCUCAAGUGUAUGACUGAAUUGCAAUAUCCAGGCACUGUAUUGUUGCAUUCACGCUAAAAUUAGUUUGACGAUUGUAUCGCACUCGCGAUGACAGGAAAUCAAUACCCGAGAAGACAAGGAAGGCAGAGUGAUCUUCGAGACAAUUAUCGAUCUGUCCGAAAUUGUGACCACAAGGUAAAAGUAGUUUUCAAAAUUGCGUUCAAAAUAAAUUUUCGGGACUGCAAUUCCGUGCGAGGAGUUUUUAAAAUUGUUGAUAAGUCAAAAGUACCGAAGCCUUCGGUUCGCGAUUUUUUCCGCGCGGUUUGCACAUAUAUUCGCGAAGUACUAAAAUUUAUCAUGUGCUUUUCGUCGAGUGCCGUUAAAAUGAUCGUGGUCGCGAGCGUAAUACGGUGAAGUGAAUAAAAAAUGAUCGACGUGGGACGGCGGCUGGAUGCUGAGGAGGCUGGAGGCUAGAUGAAUGUGAAGUGAGGCAGUCAGGGCGCAACGCUGAAUUUCAUCAUGGAUCUAGACGGCUGGACGUUGCUGAAUAUCAUCGCGAAAAUGAGAUCCAAUAGAGCAGAUACAGACACGCGGCUCUAAGAGAUGCGAUGCCUGGGGGAUACCGCGCUGAAGGAUUCGGCUCGGGCCUGUCUAAGUCUCGAAG